UGCGUAGGCGGCUUUCUAAGUUGGAUGUGAAAACUCUGGGCUCAACCCAGAGACUGCAUCCAAAACUGGAGAGCUUGGGUUCUGGAGGGGAAAGCGGAAUUCCUGGUGUAGCGGUGAAAUGCGUAGAUAUCAGGAGGAACACCGGUGGCGAAGGCGGCUUUCUGGACAGAUACCGACGCUGAGGCACGAAAGCUAGGGAGCAAACA
rnacentral:rRNA from 1 species